AUUGAACGCUGGCGGCAUGCCUUACACAUGCAAGUCGAACGGCAGCACGGGUGCUUGCACCUGGUGGCGAGUGGCGAACGGGUGAGUAAUACAUCGGAACAUGUCCUGUAGUGGGGGAUAGCCCGGCGAAAGCCGGAUUAAUACCGCAUACGAUCUACGGAUGAAAGCGGGGGACCUUCGGGCCUCGCGCUAUAGGGUUGGCCGAUGGCUGAUUAGCUAGUUGGUGGGGUAAAGGCCUACCAAGGCGACGAUCAGUAGCUGGUCUGAGGGGACGACCAGCCACACUGGGACUGAGACACGGCCCAGACUCCUACGGGAGGCAGCAGUGGGGAAUUUUGGACAAUGGGCGAAAGCCUGAUCCAGCAAUGCCGCGUGUGUGAAGAAGGCCUUCGGGUUGUAAAGCACUUUUGUCCGGAAAGAAAUCCUUGGCUCUAAUACAGUCGGGGGAUGACGGUACCGGAAGAAUAAGCACCGGCUAACUACGUG
rnacentral:rRNA from 1 species